UACGAAGGGGGCUAGCGUUGCUCGGAAUCACUGGGCGUAAAGCGCACGUAGGCGGGUUGCCAAGUCGGGGGUGAAAUCCUGGAGCUCAACUCCAGAACUGCCUUCGAUACUGGCGAUCUUGGAGUCCGGGAGAGGUGAGUGGAACUGCGAGUGUAGAGGUGAAAUUCGUAGAUAUUCGCAAGAACACCAGUGGCGAAGGCGGCUCACUGGCCCGGUACUGACGCUGAGGUGCGAAAGCGUGGGGAGCAAACAGG
rnacentral:rRNA from 1 species